UACGUAGGGUGCGAGCGUUAAUCGGAUUUACUGGGCGUAAAGCGUGCGCAGGCGGCCCGUUAAGACAGGUGUGAAAUCCCUGGGCUCAACCUAGGAAUUGCGCUUGUGACUGGCGGGCUCGAGUACGGUAGAGGGGGGUGGAAUUCCUGGUGUAGCAGUGAAAUGCGUAGAGAUCAGGAGGAACACCGAUGGCGAAGGCAGCGCCCUGGGCCUGUACUGACGCUCAUGCACGAAAGCGUGGGGAGCAAACAGG
rnacentral:rRNA from 1 species